rnacentral:rRNA from 1 species
AUGGCUCAGGACGAACGCUGGCGGCGUGCCUAAUACAUGCAAGUCGAGCGAAUGACAAGGAGCUUGCUCCUUUGAUUUAGCGGCGGACGGGUGAGUAACACGUGGGUAACCUACCCUAUAGACUGGGAUAACUUCGGGAAACCGGAGCUAAUACCGGAUAAUACUUCGAAACACAUGUUUUGAAGUUAAAAGAUGGUUUCGGCUAUCACUAUAGGAUGGACCCGCGGCGCAUUAGCUAGUUGGUGGGGUAAUGGCUCACCAAGGCAACGAUGCGUAGCCGACCUGAGAGGGUGAUCGGCCACACUGGGACUGAGACACGGCCCAGACUCCUACGGGAGGCAGCAGUAGGGAAUCUUCCACAAUGGACGAAAGUCUGAUGGAGCAACGCCGCGUGAGUGAAGAAGGAUUUCGGUUCGUAAAACUCUGUUGCAAGGGAAGAACAAGUAGCGUAGUAACUGGCGCUACCUUGACGGUACCUUGUUAGAAAGCCACGGCUAACUACGUGCCAGCAGCGGC